CUUCAUGAAGACACCAAGGCUUCACUAAAUAUAAAACCAGACAAAACCCAAAAAGCUUCUCAUAGCUGCCCCCUGAGGACUCUGCAAAUCUUCAUAUUUUGUUAGGUCUGUUCCAUCUCUGUUCUACCAGCCGGCAAGGCUAAGAUCAGUUCGGUUGGAAGAUGUCCACCAAGUACGUAGUAGCAGCGGUGCUGGGAUCAUUUGCAAUUGCUUGGGUAAAAGAUCACUACGUUGCCGAUAGGAAGAUUUUUGGAGGCACCACGCCGAGGACAGUGGCGAACAAAGAGUGGUGGGAGGAGACCGAUCGGAAGUUCCAGGCAUGGCCUCGGACAGCAGGUCCCCCUGUGAUCAUGAACCCAUCAGUCGCCAGAAUUUCAUCGUCAAGCCGCCCUGCGAUGUUUGAAUAGUUCAAUGCCUGCCAAAUCAUCUGGUUGGAAAAUGGAGUUUACGGAGGUAGAUUCAAACACGCUUGUAGUAGAUGCCAGUGCUGGUAAUAAAUCAUACCACCUUAUGGAAUAAAUAAGGGUAAAAGCUGAGACUUGUCUUGAGAGUCGACGCACAUUCGGUCGUACUCGUGGAAGUUUAAAUAUAUAAACGAAGUCCAGCGCAUUUUCUUUAUUAAUCGAAAAUAAAGUACUUUC